AUUGAACGCUGGCGGCAUGCCUUACACAUGCAAGUCGAACGGUAACAGGUCUUCGGAUGCUGACGAGUGGCGAACGGGUGAGUAAUACAUCGGAACGUGCCUAGUAGUGGGGGAUAACUACUCGAAAGAGUGGCUAAUACCGCAUGAGAUCUACGGAUGAAAGCAGGGGAUCGCAAGACCUUGUGCUACUAGAGCGGCCGGUGGCAGAUUAGGUAGUUGGUGGGAUAAAAGCUUACCAAGCCGACGAUCUGUAGCUGGUCUGAGAGGACGAUCAGCCACACUGGGACUGAGACACGGCCCAGACUCCUACGGGAGGCAGCAGUGGGGAAUGUUGGAAAAUGGGCGCAAGCCUGAUCCAGCAAUGCCGCGUGCAGGAUGAAGGCCUUCGGGUUGUAAGCUGCUUUUGUACGGAACGAAAAGCCCUGGGUUAAUACCCUGGGGUCAUGACGGUACCGUAAGAAUAAGCACCGGCUAACUACGUGCCAGCCGCCGCCGUAACAC
rnacentral:rRNA from 1 species